AUCCUACUGAAGAGUCCCAAAUAGGCCGAAACGCGCGUCCUGUAU
rnacentral:hammerhead_ribozyme from 1 species